AGAGUUUGAUCAUGGCUACAGAACGAACGCUGGCGGCAUGCCUAACACAUGCAAGUCGAACGAGACCUUCGGGUCUAGUGGCGCACGGGUGCGUAACGCGUGGGAAUCUGCCCUUGGGUUCGGAAUAACAGUGAGAAAUUACUGCUAAUACCGGAUGAUGACGUAAGUCCAAAGAUUUAUCGCCCAAGGAUGAGCCCGCGUAAGAUUAGCUAGUUGGUGGGGUAAAGGCCUACCAAGGCGACGAUCUUUAGCUGGUCUGAGAGGAUGAUCAGCCACACUGGGACUGAGACACGGCCCAGACUCCUACGGGAGGCAGCAGUGGGGAAUAUUGGACAAUGGGCGAAAGCCUGAUCCAGCAAUGCCGCGUGAGUGAUGAAGGCCUUAGGGUUGUAAAGCUCUUUUACCAGGGAUGAUAAUGACAGUACCUGGAGAAUAAGCUCCGGCUAACUCCGUG
rnacentral:rRNA from 1 species